rnacentral:lncRNA from 1 species
CAAAUGGAGAAAAAUAUUCAACAAGUUACCGAACAACACAUUAGUUCACGAAUGCACAUAGCGCAUGAGUUAAUUAUUAGUGUUGUUCCGUCACAAGUUGAAUAUUUUUUGAUAUUUGAAUUCUUUAAUUAGUUAUUCUUAUUAUUACAUUGGCAAAUGGCUUUUUUUUAAAGAAAUUAAUGUAAAACAUGUAAGGAACUAUAUCUUUUUUCUUCUCAUUCACAAUUUGUUUUGAUCUGCCGUUAUGGACGUCUUGACAAUGCCUGUUGUUGUAUGAUGUCACAGAGUGAAAUAACCACGUUUAUUUCACAUGUGAAAUUCUCGGUUUUUAUUGAACUGGGAAAUCAAUGUAAUUCAUUGCAACCAAUGUAAUAAUGUUUAUCCCAACUGAGUAUAUUUCUAGGAUUUUGAUUGGAUAAUGCACAUUGUUACAAAACUCAUACCCCUAGGUGUUGCUAACCUAUAUACCCGGAAGUUGCUGUCAAUUGCCACGGGGGACGUCACACGUGUUUUCCUUAGUUCCAUGGUUGUUCUUUGUGAAAUAUAGAAUUCUGUAGAUUAUUCAUGAUGUAUGUUCAUAAAUAUUUAAUCCACUAACAAUUUUAUCUUAUUUUGUUGAUCAUUUGCACCCAUUUUAGUAAAUGCAACACUUAGCUGCGACAUUGUCUAUAAAUGGGACUGCUGAUCUCGAUAUGCAAAUGACCCACGUUGACAUCACACCGUCUAUGAUGUAACUCUCACAACAUUGA